GUUUGCAACUGUGUGCUUGGUGAAAUGAGAAAAUGAUGUAGUGCAAACAGCCACAGCAGGAAAUUAAAACACACUUAAAUUAACAAACGUUAAUAAGAGGAAAUUAUGUCCCAAGUUUCCAACCUGCACUGCUAGGAGCUUCUUGAUAGGCCUUCCGGAGGUCUAUGACAUUUAAUAUUUGCCCUAAUUGGAGAUUAAAUAUCCACAGCAGGCUGGUUAUGUAACAAACUAAACUCUGAUAUGUGAGCUCUGAGAUGGAACUGUUUUGCUGUCUUUCGAUUUACUACUAUUCUCUUUACAUUUUGUUGACUAAGUGAGCUCUUGUUCUUGUUUAGGAAAGACUGCGGAAGGGGUGUGUGAGGGUUUUUUUGGGAAAGCAACCCACCGAGAGUAAUGCGGUGUGACAGCGGUGAGUCUGUGUUGGAAAGGGGGCGUGUGCUCGUAGGCGAGCCUGAAGAUCUGGUUGGGCAGGGGCUGUAUAAAAAGGCGGAGCGCAGUGCAGAAGCUCUCUGUAGUUCAAGUUCAUCACGGUUUGGCAUCUGUUAUGGUUUUUAAAGCUGAGAAGUAGAAGGUCCCGCUGGCCAGUUGGAGUGAGAUUCUCGACGUUGUUUUUUGGAAAGGUCUUGAACCAGGCCAGCUCUUGCAUCAGCUUUAACCCACCUCACACCCAGUUAGCAGACAUGAUCAUCAGACUGGGCAGACUGACACCUGGAUACUUCCGUCUCCUCCAGAGGCAAGUAGCAGGUCAGGUGCAGGCGCAGCCACAAGACCGUGCUGUCAACCAGAUAGCCAUGAUGCUGGCCAUCAUGGGCCUGAGUUUGUCUUACUACAGUGCCAAACAGAUGACGGAGAAGGUGAAUGCCCAGCCUGCACCCUGAAGAGGCUCGACUGCCGGUGCCAUUCGUCGAAAUAAUGGAUGAACCAAUGACAAGUGAUGGCGGUGGAGCGAGGAAGUAGAAGUCGAGACACAGCAGUGUUUCUGGGGACCGAACUUUUCUCACCUCACAGUCAUAGUCACACUUUGAAUUUCUGGGAUCCCUCACUUAGCAAAACUUUCUGACCGGGCACUGAGUGUUUUCUACUCUUUCUGUUGCCAGGACCUUCAGGGAUUUAUUGGGAUGGCUCACUCUGGGUCAUGUUUGGGCUCUUUUCUGUAGACUGGUUUGGGUGGGUGAUCAAAACCUGACAGCUAAUUGGGUCUGAUGUUAGUUAUUACCAGGCUAGAUGCUUGCAGGAUGCUGUCAGUGCUGUUCUGAGCUAUAAAAAGCAGAGAAACCUAAACUGUGAAACAAGCUUGUUCAAAAGGGAUUCAAUGAUAUGAGCAGUAAUGCCUUUUUAAGGGAAUGCUAACUGCAAGUGAAGUUUACCUGGUAAUGAAGUGAAGACAGGCUCAGAAUGUGGAUAAAUGGGUUAAAAAUGUAGCUUUAAAAAUUUUUUUUUUUCCUUUGACCCAAAGAACCUUGCAUAGCCCUGUGAACAGGGCUAUGUCUAUACAGAGAUGUCUAUACACCAAUUGGCCACAACAUUUUAAAGUUUUGUAGGUUCUCCUCAUGUUGCUGAAACCACAGUGGCUGGAAGUGGAUUCUGUGGUUGAUGCUCGUUCCACCUUGUGUUCGUUAAGUUGUCCCCAAGAGUUUUUGCGGCACGUCGGAGCACAUCACUCUGCUGGAGGGAGCCUGCUGCUGUUGGCGAGUGCCAUUAAUAUGGGGUAGCUCGCUUGGCCUUCAACAAUGUUAAUAAAACUAGGAGCCAAGUCAGAACGUAACACUGUAAACAUAUGAUCGAAAUGAUGUUAAUCCUUUCACCUGCCAGUGGUUUGAAUGUUGUGGCUGAUGUGUUUAUAAAAUUGUAUCUGCCAGGUGUCUGAGAUUAAGUGAAUAUUUGCACAGAACUACAGAAACACAUGUACAUGUUACAGUGGAUAUGCAAAGGGACUAAACUCUACUUUUUUUUUUUCUGGUUGUGAUUUCACUGUUUUAACAAUACUUUGUGAAGUCCUGUGUGUGCGACUACCUUGAUUAGCACCCUGGCUAAGAACCCUCCUUCUGGGAUCUACUAAUUUUAGUGCAGACUUUACUGAAAUGCAUGGUUGUGUAGAACUUUAAUCCAAACAAAUCUCACGAGUCCCUCUUUUUUUUUUUUAAUGAAUGUAACACUUUAUUUUCGUAUUGACUUAAUAAAGCUGUGAAUAUUUUAACAUG